UACAGAGGGGGCAAGCGUUGUUCGGAAUUACUGGGCGUAAAGGGCGCGUAGGCGGCCCGCUAAGUCGAACGUGAAAUCCCCGAGCUCAACUCGGGAACUGCGUCCGAUACUGGCGGGCUUGAAUCCGGGAGAGGGAUGCGGAAUUCCAGGUGUAGCGGUGAAAUGCGUAGAUAUCUGGAGGAAUACCGGUGGCGAAGGCGGCAUCCUGGACCAUUACUGACGCUGAGGCGCGAAAGCUAGGGGAGCAAACGGG
rnacentral:rRNA from 1 species